rnacentral:rRNA from 1 species
GAACGCUGGCGGACGGGUGAGUAACGCGUGAGGAACCUGCCUUUCAGUGGGGGGACAACAGUUGGAAACGACUGCUAAUACCGCAUAAUGUGUUUUGGGGGCAUCCCCGGAACACCAAAGAUUUAUUGCUGAAAGAUGGCCUCGCGUCUGAUUAGAUAGUUGGUGGGGUAACGGCCUACCAAGUCGACGAUCAGUAGCCGGACUGAGAGGUUGAACGGCCACAUUGGGACUGAGAUACGGCCCAGACUCCUACGGGAGGCAGCAGUGGGGAAUAUUGGGCAAUGGGGGAAACCCUGACCCAGCAACGCCGCGUGAAGGAAGAAGGCUUUCGGGUUGUAAACUUCUUUUACCAGGGACGAAGGACGUGACGGUACCUGGAGAAAAAGCCACGGCUAACUACGUG